GUUGUGGUGUAUUAUUUAUGAUUGUUUAUCAAGUCAAUUGAGUAAACAGAAUUAACUGUGUAUGACACUAGUGUAUUAGUACGAAGUUAGUACCAAACAUAUGCGGCAACACGGUAACGAGUGGUAACCGGGACUGAAGGUGCUGCGCGAAGCAAGCUGCUGGCAGCGCCGGCAGUUGAGAUACGAACGAGCAACGGACGAGUCGUGUAUCGUAGUGCGUUGGUAAAAUAGUCUGCGGAUGGAGGCGUGAGAGGUUUUCGGUACGACGACUGUACGGAUUUUACAAAUUGGCACAGCCGGUACGAAAAAAGGUAAGAUUUUUUUUUUAAAUGUUGUGAUAUUGUAAAGAUGGUGAUAUAUUGCGAAACGACAAUGAAAUACAUAUUUUGGAAUCUUGGAAUGGCUACCCACAACGAGGUCAAUAUUUUACAAAAUGGCGGAAUAUGUUUGGAAAGUUGUUAUACGAAGUGGAACAGGCAUGAGGAUUGAAAGCGCAAAACAAAAUGGCGAGUCUAAUGUGAAGUGAUCAAUGUGCUAAAAAAAAAAAAAAGAACAUGGCUCCUGCGCGAUUAGAAGCCGAAUCUUUUUGCAUUAUUAAUGGACGAGAAACAGAAGUGGAUCGAAAAGAAGUGGGUCGGAACAAAAUGCCAGAAGUGGAUUUAUUCGAUGUGGAUCAAAUCAAACUGAUGAAACGAUGAAGGCAAAGAAGAAAAUACGAAGUGGAUCAACUAAGACAUAUGAAGUGGACCGAAGCAAAGAAAAAAACGAACGAAGGGUAAAAGCGAUGUGGAUCGAAACAAGCUGAUCAAAUGAAAUAAACGUUGAUUCAAAAAAAAAAAAAUACUCAAAAAAAAUCUUGUAACAAAUUGUUCUCUACAUGAAAAUUUCAGAUGAAUGACGAAGGAGGACGUUGGUCGAUUGCACCAUUCAAUGAUGCGGUUGAUGCUCAAGACCUACGAAGGGAAUGGGAGGAAUGGCACCGAUCAUUCGAACUCAUGAUCGAGAUGAAGCAAGUUAAAUCACAGCAUGAGAAGUUGGUAACAAUGUUGUGCUACGGCGGCAGAGGUUUGCAGCGCAUCUUUCAUAACUUGAAACCCGUUCCGGAAGAAAUUUCUCCAGAACCAGUGCGCAUACCUUUGAUGCCACCAGAGUACCCCGAGUACGAUAACGCUAUCAAGAGGCUUGAAAAGUUUUUCGUUGGGAAGAGAAAUGAUCGCGUUGAACUCGAAGUUUUUCGAUCGUUGAAACAAGUAGCGGAUGAAUCGUUCAACAAGUUCGUACUUCGUUUGCGUACGCAAGCGGCUCGGUGCGAAUUCGGAGAACGCGAGGAAAUGGAAAUUCUUCAUCAAAUCACAAUGGGAGCUCGAGACGAGCGUGUCCGGGAUAAAGGCCUGGAGAGCGUAAUGGAUUUGGACGAUUUGACAAGCUACGCGAUCAACCGUGAAAUUUUGGUGCAGCAGCGGGAGAAAACAAAACCAUUCAGGCAGGAAGCAAUGGCUGUGGUGAAGCAAGAGUGGCCUCGCAGACCAGCAGUCUUCAACCGUAAUCAAGACAGUUCCAGGUUCAACAAAGUUCAGGAAAGGAUUCGCCGACCAUCUGACCGCAACGGCUCGAAGUCGGUAAUCAAUCGUAGGAGUAGUGAGUGUGAUCGAUGUGGGUCGUGGAAGCAUGGCGGCAAUUAUCCUCGAUGCCCAGCCCUUGGAUCACGCUGUCAUCAGUGUGGUACUACUGGACAUUUUUCACGAAAAUGCCGCAAAGUUCAUGCAGGACAACGCAGAUCUGCUUGGAAACCACCAGCACAGGAGACGAACGCUGUACCGGGCCCGGAUGAUUGGGAUGAGGAGAUGCCCCGCCGUCCAAAACCAGAAGACAUUGCGAAGGUAGAAUAAGUUUAAACUUUUUUUUCAAUUUUUCUUUAAAUCCAAAAUCUUGAAUUCACGGACUAAGCCACCUGAAAAGGCAAAAUAAAAAAAAUAAUUAUAAUAAUGGAAAAAUAAAUAUGUUGAUUACUUUAUUUCAUUGCUUGGCAGGUGAACAAAAUCUGUUCAGAGCUCAAGGAAGGGAUUAUCACAUGCAAGGUUGAUAAACUCCCGGUUCAGUUCCUGAUAGAUUCAGGAUCUGCAAUUAAUGCGGUUACUGAGGAAGUUUGGAGCAACCUUGUUGAAACUGAAGCAAAAGUAUACAACAUUAAGCAGAAAAGUGAGCGUAACUUUACAGCAUAUGCCAGCAGCGAAUCCUUGUGUGUAGUAGCUACCUUCGAAGCCAACAUUACAGUAAAUCCGUCUAAGCCACACAGUUACGCCGAAUUUUUUGUGAUCAAAGGAGCAACUAAGUCAUUGUUGAGUAAGAGGACCUCGGAAGACCUUCAUGUACUGAAAGUUGGACUCGACGUCGAUCACGUUGAAGCAACUAUGGAGCCUGUCGUUAAACCGUUUCCGAAGUUUCCAAACGUGCAAAUAAAACUUUCCAUUGACAAGAAUGUAAUCCCGAGGCGUAUCUCGUAUUUGAGAGUCCCGGCGGCAAUGGAAAAAAGGGUUGACGAUAAAAUACUGGAAAUGCUGCGAACAGACGUCAUAGAGAGGGUAGACGGGCCACCGGAAUGGAUUUCUCCAAUGGUGGUUGUGCCAAAAGGCAAAAACGAUGUACGCCUAUGCAUCAAUAUGAAAUAUCCAAACGAGGCUAUUCAACGAGAGCACUACCCGCUACCAGUUAUUGAUACCUUUCUCAACAAGUUGAGGGGAUCGAAGUUCUUCUCAAGGCUGGACAUAACUUCCGCGUUUCACCAUAUCGAACUACAUCCAGAAUCAAGGGGAGUUACUACGUUCAUGACAGCCAGAGGAUUGAUGCGGUUCAAGAGGUUGAUGUUUGGUAUAACAUGUGCCCCAGAAAUUUUCCAGCGAGUGAUGACUGAGAUGCUGGCUGAUAUAGACGGAGUUAUUGUAUACAUCGACGAUGUAGUAGUAUCCGGAAGGACUGUAGAAGAGCACGAC